rnacentral:rRNA from 1 species
GGGAGCAAUGUUAGGUGGGGCGACAAUGCGAUAGGGGGAUCCCAAGUGCACAAGCAUAGCGCCUGUGCUUUUCGGUACCCUAAGGCGGUACCAGAAUAAGGGCUGGGCAAGACCGGUGCCAGCCGCCGCGGUAAUACCGGCAGCCCAAGUGAUGGCCGAUCUUAUUGGGCCUAAAGCGUCCGUAGCUGGCCGCGCAAGUCCAUCGGGAAAUCCACCUGCUCAACAGGUGGGCGCCCGGUAGAAACUGCGUGGCUUGGGACCGGAAGGCGCGACGGGUACGUCCGGGGUAGGAGUGAAAUCCCGUAAUCCUGGACGGACCGCCGAUGGCGAAAGCACGUCGCGAGAACGGAUCCGACAGUGAGGGACGAAAGCCAGGGUCUCGAACCGGAUUAGAUACCCGGGUAGUCCUGGCCGUAAACAAUGUCUGCUAGGUGUGGCUCCCACUACGAGUGGGUGCUGUGCCGAAAGGAAGCCGCUAAGCAGACCGCCUGGGAAGUACGUCCGCAAGGAUGAAACUUAAAGGAAUUGGCGGGGGAGCACUACAACCGGAGGAGCCUGCGGUUUAAUUGGACUCAACGCCGGACAUCUCACCAGCAUCGACUGUAGUAAUGACGAUCAGGUUGAUGACCUUAUCCGAGCUUCAGAGAGGAGGUGCAUGGCCGCCGUCAGCUCGUACCGUGAGGCGUCCUGUUAAGUCAGGCAACGAGCGAGACCCGCACCCUUACUUGCCAGCAGUACCGCGAGGUAGCUGGGGACAGUAGGGGGACCGCCGUGGCUAACACGGAGGAAGGAACGGGCAACGGUAGGUCAGUAUGCCCCGAAUGUGCUGGGCAACACGCGGGCUACAAUGGUCGAGACAAAGGGUUCCCACUCCGAAAGGAGACGGUAAUCUCAUAAACUCUAUCGGAGUUCGGAUUGUGGGCUGCAACUCACCCACAUGAAGCUGGAUUCAGUAUGAAUCGCAUUGUCACAAGCGAGCGGUGAAUACUUUCCUGCGCCUUGAACACCCGUCCCGUCAACGAUUGUUUCUCGAAUGUCGCAAUUUGUGUAAGUGUCGGCUUGAGAUUUCGGUCCAAUGUUCGUU